rnacentral:rRNA from 1 species
AUUGAACGCUGGCGGCAGGCCUAACACAUGCAAGUCGAGCGAGUGGCGGACGGGUGAGUAAUGUCUGGGAAACUGCCCGAUGGAGGGGGAUAACUACUGGAAACGGUAGCUACUACCGCAUACCAUCGGAUGUGCCCAGAUGGGAGUAGCUAGUAGGUGGGGUAACGGCUCACCUAGGCGACGAUCCCUAGCUGGUCUGAGAGGAUGACCAGCCACACGGGAACUGAGACACGGUCCAGACUCCUACGGGAGGCAGCAGUGGGGAAUAUUGCACAAUGGGCGCAAGCCUGAUGCAGCCAUGCCGCGUGUAUGAAGAAGGCCUUCGGGUUGUAAAGUACUUUCAGCGAGGAGGCGUUACUCGCAGAAGAAGCACCGGCUAACUACGUGCCAGCCGCCGCGGUAAUAC